CGUCUCCGUUGAUGAUUUCAGGUGCUUGCACCUGAAAGAUUUAACAUUGAGACGAGUGGCGAACUGGUGAGUAACACGUGGGUAACCUGCCCUUGAAGUAGGGGAUAACACUUGGAAACAGGUGCUAAUACCGUAUAACAACCAAAACCACCUGGUUUUGGUUUAAAAGACGGCUUCGGCUGUCACUUUAGGAUGGACCCGCGGCGUAUUAGCUUGUUGGUAAGGUAACGGCUUACCAAGGCGAUGAUACGUAGCCGACCUGAGAGGGUAAUCGGCCACAUUGGGACUGAGACACGGCCCAAACUCCUACGGGAGGCAGCAGUAGGGAAUCUUCCACAAUGGACGAAAGUCUGAUGGAGCAACGCCGCGUGAGUGAUGAAGGGUUUCGGCUCGUAAAACUCUGUGGUUGGAGAAGAACAGGUGUCAGAGUAACUGUUGACAUCUUGACGGUAUCCAACCAGAAAGCCACGGCUAACUACGUGCCAGCAGCCGCGGUAAUACGUAGGUGGCAAGCGUUGUCCGGAUUUAUUGGGCGUAAAGCGAGCGCAGGCGGUUUUUUAGGUCUGAUGUGAAAGCCUUCGGCUUAACCGGAGAAGUGCAUCGGAAACCGGGAGACUUGAGUGCAGAAGAGGACAGUGGAACUCCAUGUGUAGCGGUGAAAUGCGUAGAUAUAUGGAAGAACACCAGUGGCGAAGGCGGCUGUCUGGUCUGUAACUGACGCUGAGGCUCGAAAGCAUGGGUAGCGAACAGGAUUAGAUACCCUGGUAGUCCAUGCCGUANACGAUGAGUGCUAAGUGUUGGAGGGGUUCCGCCCUUCAGUGCUGCAGCUAACGCAUUAAGCACUCCGCCUGGGGAGUACGACCGCAAGGUUGAAACUCAAA
rnacentral:rRNA from 1 species